rfam:Sarcophilus harrisii ctg7180001715428, whole genome shotgun sequence.
AUGUGGAAAAGGUCCUCCAUUUUGUGGAUUCUUCCAAAAAGAGGCCCUUGUCCAUAGAG